rnacentral:rRNA from 1 species
AGCAGCCGCGGUAAUUCCAGCUCCAAUAGCGUAUAUUAAAGUUGUUGCAGUUAAAAAGCUCGUAGUUGAAUUUCGGGAUCAGUAUGUUGGUCGUGCUUCGGUACGUACUGUCAUUACUGGUUUCUACCUUCUGAAGAACCUUGAUGUCAUUAAUUUGGUGUCUUGGGGAAUCAGGACUGUUACUUUGAAAAAUUAGAGUGUUUAAAGCAAGCAUACGCUUGAAUACAUUAGCAUGGAAUAAUGAAAUAGGACGUUUGAUUCUAUUUUGUUGGUUUCUAGGAUCGACGUAAUGAUUAAUAGGGAUAGUUGGGGGCAUUAGUAUUCAAUUGUCAGAGGUGAAAUUCUUGGAUUUAUUGAAGACUAACUACUGCGAAAGCAUUUGCCAAGGAUGUUUUCAUUAAUCAAGAACGAAAGUUAGGGGAUCGAAGACGAUCAGAUACCGUCGUAGUCUUAACCAUAAACUAUGCCGACUAGGGAUCGGAUGAUGUUAUUUUUAAU